rnacentral:tRNA from 1 species
GGAAGCGUAAUUCAGUGGCAGGGUACUUGUUUAGUAUGCAUGAGGCCCUGGAUUCAAUCCCCAGCACCACCA